UACGUAGGGUGCGAGCAUUGUCCGGAAUUAUUGGGCGUAAAGAGCUCGUAGGCGGUCUGUCGCGUCGAUCGUGAAAACUUGGGGCUUAACUCUGAGCUUGCGGUCGAUACGGGCAUGACUGGAGUUCGGCAGGGGAGACUGGAAUUCCUGGUGUAGCGGUGAAAUGCGCAGAUAUCAGGAGGAACACCGGUGGCGAAGGCGGGUCUCUGGGCCGAUACUGACGCUGAGGAGCGAAAGCGUGGGGAGCGAACAGG
rnacentral:rRNA from 1 species